GAUGAAGAACGUAGCGAAAUGCGAUAAUUAAUGUGAAUUGCAGAAUUCAGUGAAUCAUCGAGUCUUUGAACGCACAUUGCGCCCCCUGGUAUUCCGGGGGGCAUGCCUGUCCGAGCGUCAUUGCUGCCCUCAAGCCCGGCUUGUGUGUUGGGCCUUGCUCCCCCGGGGGCAGGUCCGAAAGGCAGUGGCGGCACCGCGUCCGAUCCUCGAGCGUAUGGGGCUUUGUCACCCGCUCUGUAGGCCCGGCCGGCGCUUGCCGACCCCAAUCAAUCUUUUUUCAGGUUGACCUCGGAUCAGGUAGGGAUACCCGCUGAACUUAAGCAUAUCAAUAAGCGGAGGA
rnacentral:misc_RNA from 1 species